AUUGAACGCUAGCGGGAUGCUUUACACAUGCAAGUCGAACGGCAGCGCGGACUUCGGUCUGGCGGCGAGUGGCGAACGGGUGAGUAAUGUAUCGGAACGUGCCCAGUAGCGGGGGAUAACUACGCGAAAGCGUAGCUAAUACCGCAUACGCCCUACGGGGGAAAGCAGGGGAUCGUAAGACCUUGCACUAUUGGAGCGGCCGAUAUCGGAUUAGCUAGUUGGUGAGGUAACGGCUCACCAAGGCGACGAUCCGUAGCUGGUGUGAGAGGACGACCAGCCACACUGGGACUGAGACACGGCCCAGACUCCUACGGGAGGCAGCAGUGGGGAAUUUUGGACAAUGGGGGCAACCCUGAUCCAGCAAUCCCGCGUGUGCGAUGAAGGCCUUCGGGUUGUAAAGCACUUUUGGCAGGAAAGAAACGUCGCGGGCUAAUACCCCGUGGAACUGACGGUACCUGCAGAAUAAGCACCGGCUAACUACGUG
rnacentral:rRNA from 1 species